AAGGGAUAUUGUGUAGUUGCUGUGAUUGUAUCAUAGAGGAAAGUCCGGGCUCCAUGCAAACAGGGUGCCGGAUAACGUCCGGCGAGGUUAAGGCCUUAGGGAAAGUGCAACAGAAAGUAUACCGCUAGGAUUUUGUAUUAUUUAGAUCCUAGUAAGGGUGAAAUGGGGCGGUAAGAGCGCACCGCAAUUGUGGUAACACGAUUGGCAUUGUAAACCCCACUCGGAGCAAGGCCGAAUAGAGAUCCGCGUCCGAAAGGAACGGCGUGUUUGUCGUCGAGGAUCCGGGUAAGCCGCUCGAGCUUGCUGGCAACAGCAAGCCUAGAUGAAUAACUACAGAGAAACGAAUGCGUUUUCAGACAGAACCCGGCUUAUAGAUAUCCCUAGCAA
rnacentral:RNase_P_RNA from 1 species